AUGGCGACUCCAAUUUUCAAAAAAUGCCUGUCGUGUGGAGGAAAGCUCCCGGACACCGACAGGCACGACAAAUGCCUUCUUUGCCUAGGAGAGGCUCACUCCACAGCCUCUUGCUCUGCCUGCCGGGCCUUCACACCCCAGGCGCGGAAAAAUAGAGAAACAAGACUUAAAGCACUCCUUUACGAGCGAGCGCUCCUCCCUCCUCAGGCAGCUCAAGCAAACCCCUCGGCACCUCCAACGCCAGGACGCUCUCUUUGUCUCCCGCCUCAGUCUCUCCCUCCAACGCCGUCAGCGGCAGCUAAACGCAGCCGUUCCUCCUCCACAACCAGGGAGCAUGCUGGCGGGGAAAAGGAGAAGGAGAAGAAGAAAAAGCGAAAGAAGCAUCGCUCCGCCUCCUCCAGCCAGUCUCUCUCUCACUCACUUUUCACCGCUCUGAGGGCGGCGCCGUCGCCAAUUCCGCCCACACCAGGGCGUCAACUUAGCCAGGAGGCGGGGCAACCCCAGCCUCCGAACGCAACACCUUCUCGGGGUGAGGAAACGGCCCUGCUCCCAAAGGAGUCAGCCAAUCCCCCUGCACCGUUGUCUCAACAAAGCCUCUCCACCCCGAUGAGGCUGGACACACGGGCCCGUGCUCUCGGGACCGAGGCACGCAGGGCUCACAAUGCGGAGGAGGGCCAGGCAACCACCUCCCUUCCUACCAUCCCGUCGCCUGAAAGAAUCUCUCCUGCUCAGCGCCUCCUUUCACCAAAGGCUGCCUCCUAUUCUCAUGACCUCUUCCAAUCUCCUCCUCGUCGCUCUACAUGGAGUGAACCACCUAUGCACAGUGCACUCCCUCCACUACAUGAAGACCUUAUUCACCGGUCUCCUGGUGGUAGAGAAUAUUUUUUUGGCCCAGUCGCAGCCUUUAAUCGAGCUCAACCACCCUUGCUAUCUCCACAAGACGCCCCACCCAUGACACAACCUUCAUACCAACAUGAAGAGCCACCACAAUACCUCUCUGCCUCCGACUCAGAAUCUUACAUAUCUGAGGGCGACCAAGCGGGGCCACCACCGUCAGACCCCGCACCACCCGAAGAAAUGUUAACAUUUUCAGCCCUUAUCACGAGACUCUCGCGGGCUUUAGCAUUACCAAUACCCAACCCACAGAAGCCUAUAGAGGACCCGUUGUUUCCUUCAGAUCAACAACAAACUCCAACCCCUGCUAUGGUUCUUCCUCCUUUACCAUACCUCCUACAACUGGCCAGAACCCCAGAUACCCCUCCUUUUGCUGUCCCACCGGUUUCAAGGAGAUGCGACAGCCUCUAUAGGAUUGACCUUACCUCCAACCUUUGGGCAGCAAGACCACCUAAGCCCAAUUCUUUAGCAAUAAAGGUGACUCAGGGUAGACGCUCCUCCAAGUCAUGCCCUACCCCAGCUGACAAGGAAGGCAGGAAACUGGAGGGAUUGGGCAAAAAGGUUCACCUCACCGCUGGAUUCGUGACUAGGCUUGCUCACUAUGGGGCCUAUAUGGCUUCCUACCAAGAUUACUUAUGGAAGAAGGUCGGUCCAUACCUUGACAUGCUACCUCCGCAACACCGCUCCUUUGCUACGGCAUGCCACCAUGAAGCCCUUGCCCUUGCAAGAGCCCAAAAGGAGAUGGCGAAACAUACAGCGGAUACCGCAGGUCGCAUGUUUGCAACGGCGACAGCUAUUCGUAGACAUGCAUGGCUUCGGGCUUCCACACUCUCCGAGAAGGGCAGAGAUACUGCGGAGAGUUUACCAGUCCAUGAUGAUGCCCUGUUCCACCCGGACACUGAUGGCCAAUUAAAGAGUACUCAGGAGAUGAAAAAGACAACUCAUAGCUACGGCUUUACUUCUUCUGGUAACUACCCUCCCAGGAAUAGAUGGACCCCAUACUCAUCUUACCAGCGCAGGCCCUAUGGUUCCAAUACCAGACAACUGCCGCAACCAUCCCAACCCCCCCCUUCGAGACAGCCAGCAUCUACUCGCUCUCGCCAACAGGGCAGGGGACGGUACCAACCUAGAUCACGGGGUCGUUUUUAA
rnacentral:lncRNA from 1 species